GUCGUAGAAUUAGAAAAGAAGUUCCCAGAACUUUUAUAAAAUUAAGGUUCCACAAUUCCCUUUUCCUGAAGAAAAACUAUAUCCUCCGACAACGUUCAAUUAACUUUUUCACAUCUCCGGUGUCGAAGUCUCCGGCGAGGCAAACCACCGUCGCUGUAUCUGUGAUCUGUGUUCGUCUUCUCAACCAAAAAUCGAAACAGAUUUCUGGUUAUGGAUUCUUCUAGCAGUAAGCGCAAUUACCCACGACUACUACAGUUAUGUCCAGACUGAUGGCAUGUUGAACAUAAAUGUUGUUUUCUGGGUCGUUUUUUCUCAGUGGCUUUCUCUAAAGCCGACUUCAUCCUUGACUUUUUAGGUCUUCCAGGUUGUGCUUGUAUAAGCAGAGGCAAGCAAAUCUUUGUUGUUAUUUUUUCUGGAACUGGUGAAUCAACAUCUCUUGGCAUUAUGGAAGUAGAAUAAGCGUUCAACAAGUAUGAGCUGUGAUAAUAGGGGUGACAAUGCAUGAAUCCCAUUCAAUGCAAAGUCUUCGUCACCUGAAGAUGCGCCAUCUAAAUCAUCACAAUAAUCAAAUAUAGAGCCUUCGUCUUCAUCAUCACUUGCAUCCUCGUCUUCUUCUAAAACUCGUUCCUUAAGUUCAAGACAAAGUUGCAUUGCUUCCAUCUUGAGCUGUUCCAAAAAUCCAGUGAAUUGCCUCUGAUUUUUAAUAUCCACAGGUGGUGUUGUGGGGUAACGUCAACAAAAUUUCUUUGGAAACAUGUAGCUCAAUUCCACGUCGUAAAUCUGCUCAUUAACCUUGUACUCUUUGAUCACCAUAUGAACAAAAUCAUCAUAACUAGUUUUGUCGUCUA